GGGCGGGACACGUGGUAUCCUGUCUGAAUAUGGGGGGACCAUCCUCCAAGGCUAAAUACUCCUGACUGACCGAUAGUGAACCAGUACCGUGAGGGAAAGGCGAAAAGAACCCCGGCGAGGGGAGUGAAAAAGAACCUGAAACCGUGUACGUACAAGCAGUGGGAGCCUCUUUAUGGGGUGACUGCGUACCUUUUGUAUAAUGGGUCAGCGACUUAUAUUCUGUAGCAAGGUUAACCGAAUAGGGGAGCCGAAGGGAAACCGAGUCUUAACUGGGCGUUAAGUUGCAGGGUAUAGACCCGAAACCCGGUGAUCUAGCCAUGGGCAGGUUGAAGGUUGGGUAACACUAACUGGAGGACCGAACCGACUAAUGUUGAAAAAUUAGCGGAUGACUUGUGGCUGGGGGUGAAAGGCCAAUCAAACCGGGAGAUAGCUGGUUCUCCCCGAAAGCUAUUUAGGUAGCGCCUCGUGAAUUCAUCUCCGGGGGUAGAGCACUGUUUCGGCUAGG
rnacentral:rRNA from 1 species